rnacentral:rRNA from 1 species
UAUGUAGGUGGCAAGCGUUGUCCGGAUUUAUUGGGCGUAAAGGGAGCGCAGGUGGUUUCUUAAGUCUGAUGUGAAAGCCCACGGCUUAACCGUGGAGGGUCAUUGGAAACUGGGGAACUUGAGUGCAGAAGAGGAAAGUGGAAUUCCAAGUGUAGCGGUGGAAUGCGUAGAUAUUUGGAGGAACACCAGUGGCGAAGGCGACUUUCUGGUCUGUAACUGACACUGAGGCUCGAAAGCGUGGGGAGCGAACAGGAUUAGAUACUCGCGUAGU